ACACACCUCAGUCAUCAUCUUCACUCAGCUCCAUAGCCUCUAUUAGGGGACUUAGUUUACAAAAAUAUUAUUUUCUUUUUACUUUAUAAGAAAAAAUCAUGACUAAAUUAAUAUUUGUGCAAUCCAAUUUCGACUUGGACAAACAAAUACGUGCCUAUAUAUUUGCAUACCUUUGUUGCAUACUUAUCUAGUUUAUGAAGCUAAAGAUGGCUAUGUAAUUGUGCACUUACUUGUCUUCCUUCCUCAUGAAGUAUUUACUGUUUCUUCAUCCAUAUUACCUCAUCUCUCUCACAAAUGUCAAACCAUUUCCCUUCUAAAAUUCAAGCAGUCAUUUACUAUAGAUUCCUCACUCUUUUCUUUUUGUCAGAAGUAUUAUCCAAAAACAAGUUCAUGGAACAUGAGCAGAGAUUGUUGUUCAUGGGAUGGAGUCAUAUGUGAUGACAUGACUGGCCAUGUUAUUGAGCUUGACCUCGGCUGUAGCGGUCUUGUUGGGACCAUUGCUUCCAAUAGCAGUCUAUUCCAACUCUCAUCUCCAAAGGCUUGAUCUUUCUUCGAAUAACUUCUCCAAUUCUCAUAUCCCCCCUGAAUUCAGUAAGUUUUCACGCUUGACACAUCUUGAUCUUUCUGCCUCUUAUUUCUCAGGUCGAUACUUUGUUCUGAAGGCCUAGCGAGUUCCUUUUUUUUCAAAGGCGGCCCCAUUGACCGAACCACGUUAAGUCUUUGUGUCUAUUGGUAUAUUUCUCGUUGUCUUCUUACUCAUGGUCUUUCGAUGUUUGCAUUGCUAGCUUCCGCAUCUACACCUGCUUAUUUCUGGUCCUAACAAAGGGUGCAUUCCUCAAGGAAAUCAAUUUCAGACCUUUGAGAACAAUUCAUAUGAAGGGAAUGAUGGAUUACGUGGAUUUCCCGUUACAAAAAGUUGUGGUGAUCAUCGUAUAUCAGGGACAUAUUAUGUUGUAUCUGAACAGCUAGAUGAUGAAGAAAACAAUUCUGAAUUUAUGAGUGAUUUUUGGAAAGCUGCUUUUAUGGGCUACGGAAAUGGACUAUGUAUUGAAAUAUCAUGGUAUAUUUCAUGAUUUCAACUGGAAAAACCGAUAUGGCUUGCAAGAAUCAUUCUAGAGUUGGAGCAAAAAAUUAUCAUGGGAAGGAGAAAGAAGAGUGAAGGUAAAGGUAUUACAGAAGAAGAAAUAAUUGUUGUUUCCAAUGAUUAUUCAGUUUUUGGACCUUUUUGUAGGCUUUUAAGCAAACAGAUGUACUAUCAUUUGUUCUCUACCAAUUAAAACUUUGUACUUAUGUUGAUAGAAAAAUGGACUAGUUCUGUUUUCAAAGUGAGAACUUAUAUUUGAAACAUUAAUUUUGGACAACCGAAGCAAUAUUGCUUUCAUCAA